UACGGAGGGUGCUAGCGUUGUUCGGAAUCACUGGGCGUAAAGGGCGUGUAGGCGGUCUGUUAAGUCUGAUGUGAAAUCCCCCUCGCUUAACGAGGGAACUGCGUCGGAUACUGGCAGACUCGAGUACCGGAGAGGAAGGUGGAAUUCCCGGUGUAGCGGUGAAAUGCGUAGAUAUUGGGAGGAACACCAGUGGCGAAGGCGGCUACCUGGACCGGUACUGACGCUGAUGCGCGAAAGCGUGGGUAGCAAACAGG
rnacentral:rRNA from 1 species